GAAAACUCACCUCAGUGGGACGUCGGUGACAAUGAUGACUAUGAGUAACCUUGGAGAGGACUGCAUACGUGGGCAAACCCCCCCCCCAGCCCUUGUAUUAUGUUGGAAAAAUGACAUUGAUUAUGUUGCGGGUCAUUUUGACCCAUACUGUGUAAUUGCACUCAAAACAGUCAAGAAAACAGGUUAAACCAAUAACCACUUUAUUUUACAUUGUAUAAACAUUUAGAAAAGCGACAUACAAUACAUUUUUAAUUCCAACACUAUAUUUAAGAAAUAUUUAGUCUAAUCCUCUUGUCCUCCUCUCGGGUCAAAAUGACAAUUCUUCCCUGCUUCUUUCCUCCUGCCAUGCUCUCUCCUUCUUUCUUCUCAUCCUGUUUUCCUUCUCUCUGUUCAUCCUCCUCUAUUCCCUUCUUUUCUGUCUUCCUUCCAUUCUUCAUUUCUCCCUUCUUUCCUUCCUACCUUCCUUCCUUCGUCCCUUCCUCCUUCCUUGACCAAAGAAAGCACAAGGGCUAUGUUUUUCCCUCUUCAUGAACACAUUUCUUUUUAACUUUAACUUCAUCCCAGCAAACUUCAACAUUUUCAAUGUUCUCCAAAUUUUCUUCAACAUUUUCAAUGCGCUCCACUUGAUGGACAGAUUUUUACUGUGUGCUUUCUGCAGAUGUAAUUCUUGCAUUUCACACAAGAGGUACUUGUUUUACUGCGAGGGACACACCUGGUAUCUUUUCCUUUUCUUUCCACCUGUGUCCACUGGAUGUUGGUUGGGUGAGGAUGGGUUGGGUGACCUGAGUUUGACCUUUUCAAUGACAGCUGCUGGGGAUCGAGCUGGCCUGGCUCGCGUCUGGAUCUUGGGAGUGACAAGUGUUUUGCCGAGUUCUUCCAGGAAAAGCCGACGUCUGUACAAUUUGCCGGCAUUCCAUUUCUGGUUGAUUGCAGUCCAAAAGGACAUAGGCAUUGUAAGCAUACACGUCCACAAUGUUGUAGAAAAUCACCAAAGGCCAACGGGCUGUCUUGCGCUGGCAGCUGUAUGUUGCUGUGACUUUGUCCAGAUUGUCAACUCCUCCUUUGGUAGAGUUAUAAUCCAGGAUCAUUUGUGGCUUCAUGUCUUCUCUUGUGCUCAGAGAUGCAUCUGUGUGCAUUGUACUCAUUACAAGAACAUUCUUGUUUCUCUUUGGGCAGUAUGAAACAACUUGCUUUCUCAGUGAAAGCAAAUAUUCAGGAAUGCAGAGGUUUGCCCUGCAUCUUCAGAAUUUCGGUGGGAAGUUCUGUCUUAUUUCUUCUGACUGUUCCCAACAUGGUCAGCUUUCUCUUCUGAAGUUCAUCUCCAAGGCGGUAGGAUGUAAAGAAAUUGUCACAUGUGAUGUUAUGACCUUGCAGCCCUUCACUCAUUUCCAGCACCUCACGCAUCCCCUGAUUCUUCUCAGAUGUUCCUCCAGGUAGCUUUCCAGUGUAUACUUGCAUAUUCCAUGCAUAGCUGGAUUUUGCAUCACAGGCUGCCCAUAUUUUGAUGCCAUACUUGGCGGGCUUGUUGGGCAUGUACUGUCGGAAAGGACAGCGCCCCCUGAAUGGAACAAGGUGCUCAUCUACAAUAACAUGGGGACCAGGAUUGUACAACAAAGGUACAUUUUCAACCCAUUUAUCCCACACAUAUCUGAUCGCAGCUAGUUUGUCUCUUUCACGUCGACCAGCUCUGGUGUCGCAGUUGUCAAGGCGGAUCACACGAGAUAUCAUGUGGAAUGCCUCCAGAGACAUUGUUGACGAAAGAUUGGCCUUCCAUUCUCUUCAUUCCAUAGACUUGCAGUGACUUCUUCCUCUGACCUGUGACUCCAGCUAAUAACAGAACUCCAAUUAUAAUCCUCUCUAUUGGUGGGGAUAUGAAGAGCUGAAAUGCUGAUUGAAUCUCAUCAACUCGUGUGACAGCAAAUCUUAUGCCCAUGUUUCCUCUGCGGAUGAUGAUUGCUGCAUUCCUUGGUUUUGAUCUGUUGGAGGAACAACGGCAGACUCGUCCUCUGAAUCCUCCUCAUCGUAGGAAAAUUGACAAUCUGGAUCAGCAACAACGUUGUCCUCUGUCUCUGAAAAAUCCUCUGUUUCUGAAAUCUCUUCCUCUACAUCACUAUUCCAGUUAAAAAUCUGUGAUAAAGCCUCCUCAGAUGUCAUCCUUCUGGAGCUCAUUUUUGGUGAGUCUGUCAAAGAGAUGACAUGAGAACAGUGAGAGUGUGAGAAAGUUCCCUCUCUUCACACCACCGAGACAGUCCUCGCAAAAAUUACUAAUGAUUUAUUGCUAACGAUGGAUUCUGAUGCGUCAUCUAUGUUUCUGCUCCUCAAUCUUAGCGCUGCUUUUGAUACCGUCGAUCAUAAUAUUUUAUUAGAGCGUAUCAAAACACGGAUCAAAGGACUAAGAUCGAGGAGCAGCACUAUAGAUGACGCAUCAGAAUCCAUCGUUAGCAAUAGAUCAUUAGCUAUUUUUGCGAGGGCUGUCUCCGUAGAGUGAUUUACCCUGAAACCGGAUUGAAAGGUUUCACAUAGAUUGUUAGACACUAAGUGUUCAUUUAGCUGCUCUGCAACAAUAUUUUCGAGCAUUUUUGAGAUAAAGGAAAGGUGAGACACCGGUCGGUAGUUUAUCAUGAGGUCAGGAUCAAGGUUAGGUCGUGUCUCUUUGAUGUACUUUUUCCUUUGAUGUACAAUUCUUUGUAUUUUUUGAGGAUUUUCUAAAUAAAGGGAAGGUGAGACACCGGUCGGUAUUUUACCAUGAGGUCAGGAUCGAGGUUAGGUCUUUUAGACAGAGGAUGAAUAACCGCUUUUUUGAAUGCUAGGGGAACAGUGCCAGAGGAAAGUGAUAAGUUUAUAAUAUUUAGUACUGAUGGACCUAAUAAUACAAAGAGCUCCUUGAUAAGUUUCCCAGGAAGUGGGUCAAGUAAACAUGUUUGUUUUAUUCCAUUUACACGUAACAAUUAUUCUAAUGUUAUUUCAUCAAAACGAGAGAAACUAUUUUGGAGGGCA